rnacentral:piRNA from 1 species
UCAAAGGUUGUCGUUGAGUUCUGACU